rnacentral:rRNA from 1 species
AGCAGCCGCGGUAAUUCCAGCUCCAAUAGCGUAUAUUAAAGUUGUUGCAGUUAAAAAGCUCGUAGUUGAACUUCAGGCCUGUCCAGAUGGUCCGCCUUAAUUGGUGUGUACUGUCCUUGGGUGGGUCCUACCUUCUGGCGAAGCGGCAUGGCCUUAAUUGGUUGUGUCGGGGAAGCAGGACUUUUACUGUGAAAAAAUUAGAGUGUUCAAAGCAGGCAAAUAUGCUCGAAUACAUUAGCAUGGAAUAAUGGAAUAGGACGAUGGUUCUAUUUUGUUGGUUCUAGGACCGUUGUAAUGAUUAAUAGGGAUAGUUGGGGGCAUUAGUAUUCAAUUGUCAGAGGUGAAAUUCUUGGAUUUAUUGAAGACUAACUACUGCGAAAGCAUUUGCCAAGGAUGUUUUCAUUAAUCAAGAACGAAAGUUAGGGGAUCGAAGACGAUCAGAUACCGUCGUAGUCUUAACCAUAAACUAUGCCGACUAGGAAUCGGGCGAUGUUGACAAAAUGACUCGCUCGGCACCUCAUG